GUAUAAGCAAGUCACCGCUGCACUGAACACAACCAGCUUGGCUCCCUGGCUCAGCUUCCCCUGUGAUGGACCCUGCCUCUGCUUACUGAUUGUGCAGCUACAUAUGCAUGAGAAGAACAUCAGUUAUAAAUAUGACUAAGAAUAAAACAUUUUCUAAUUCAA